CCGUCGGGGCAAGAGCCAGGCCUC
rnacentral:siRNA from 1 species